AGAGUUUGAUCAUUCCUCAGGAUGAACGCUAGCGGCAGGCUUAAUACAUGCAAGUCGAGGGGCAACGCAGUGUAGCAAUACAUGGGCGGCGACCGGCUUACCCCUGCGGAACACGUACACAACCUUCCUAUAAGUGGGGGAUAGCCCAGAGAAAUUUGGAUUAAUACCCCGUAAGAUAACGAUGUGGCAUCAUAUUGUUAUUAAAGCUACGGCGCUUAUUGAUGGGUGUGCGGCUGAUUAGAUAGUUGGCGGGGUAAUGGCCCACCAAGUCUACGAUCAGUAGCUGAUGUGAGAGCAUGAUCAGCCACACGGGCACUGAGACACGGGCCCGACUCCUACGGGAGGCAGCAGUAAGGAAUAUUGGUCAAUGGACGCAAGUCUGAACCAGCCAUGCCGCGUGAAGGAUUAAGGUCCUCUGGAUUGUAAACUUCUUUUAUAUGGGACGAAAAAAGGGUAAUCUUAUCCGUCUGACGGUUCUUUAUGAAUAAGCACCGGCUAACUCCGUGCCAGCAGCCGCGGUAAUACGGAGGGUGCAAGCGUUAUCCGGAUUCACUGGGUUUAAAGGGUGCGUAGGCGGGCAGGUAAGUCAGUGGUGAAAUCCUAGAGCUUAACUCUAGAACUGCCAUUGAUACUAUCUGUCUUGAAUAUUGUGGAGGUAAGCGGAAUAUGUCAUGUAGCGGUGAAAUGCUUAGAUAUGACAUAGAACACCUAUUGCGAAGGCAGCUUACUACGCAUAUAUUGACGCUGAGGCACGAAAGCGUGGGGAUCAACAGGAUUAGAUACCCUGGUAGUCCACGCCUAAACGAUGGAUACUCGACAUACGCGAUACACAGUGUGUGUCUGAGCGAAAGCAUUAAGUAUCCCACCUGGGAAGUACGUC
rnacentral:rRNA from 1 species